rnacentral:tRNA from 1 species
GCCUGGAUGGCUCAGUCGGUUGAGCAUCCGACUUCGGCUCAGGUCAUGAUCUCGCGGUCCCGUCCGUGAGUUCAAGCCCCGCGUCAGGCU